rnacentral:rRNA from 1 species
GAUCAUGGCUCAGGAUGAACGCUAGCUACAGGCUUAACACAUGCAAGUCGAGGGGCAUCAGGGUGUAGCAAUACACCGCUGGCGACCGGCGCACGGGUGAGUAACACGUAUCCAACCUGCCCUUUACUCGGGGAUAGCCUUUCGAAAGAAAGAUUAAUACCCGAUGGCAUAACAUGACCUCCUGGUUUUGUUAUUAAAGAAUUUCGGUAGAGGAUGGGGAUGCGUUCCAUUAGGCAGUUGGCGGGGUAACCGG